rnacentral:rRNA from 1 species
UGUAUUUAUUAGAUAAAAAACCAAUGCCCUUCGGGGCUUUUUGGUGAUUCAUGAUAACUUUACGGAUCGCAUAGCCUUGCGCUGGCGACGGUUCAUUCAAAUUUCUGCCCUAUCAACUUUCGAUGGUAAGGUAUUGGCUUACCAUGGUUUCAACGGGUAACGGGGAAUUAGGGUUCGAUUCCGGAGAGGGAGCCUGAGAAACGGCUACCACAUCCAAGGAAGGCAGCAGGCGCGCAAAUUACCCAAUCCCGACACGGGGAGGUAGUGACAAUAAAUACUGAUACAGGGCUCUUUUGGGUCUUGUAAUUGGAAUGAGUACAAUUUAAAUCCCUUAACGAGGAACAAUUGGAGGGCAAGUCUGGUGCCAGCAGCCGCGGUAAUUCCAGCUCCAAUAGCGUAUAUUAAAGUUGUUGCAGUUAAAAAGCUCGUAGUUGAAACUUGGGCCUGGCUGGCGGGUCCGCCUCACCGCGUGCACUCGUCCGGCCGGGCCUUCCUUCUGAAGAACCUCAUGCCCUUCACUGGGCGUGCUGGGGAACCAGG